UGUAUCCACGUUCCAAAUGAAAGUUCCAACGUUCCAUUGGGCAACGUGAGCUCGACGCCUGGUGAUUGGCUGCUCUUGUUUCAACCCUGCCCUCUGACCGCAUGUACCACUAGCACUGCUAAGGGAAUUGCUCAUUUUAUAUCAAGCCUUGCAUUCUCCUUAAUGAGGAACCAUUAAACCAUUCAAGCCUUUUUCCAAACUUAAGCCGUUGUUCUAAAUUGUUGCAUGCAUCACUUCGAUGGUGCACUGAGUUUUAUUCCCUGCUGGACGUUUGCUUUCUCCCUCACCUCCUUUCAAGUUGCAAGGAUUGCCUUCGAAAGGGUCAUUUUUUUCUCUCUGAGCGGAAGCGUGGCUAGCUGCAAGGGGAGAGGCAGAAGCAGAGUGCUUGUUGGAGAAGCUUCACCAAACUGAAAAUAGCAAUGGAGUGUCAACGUUGGUUACCAUUGGAAGCGAAUCCUGAUGUCAUGAACCAGUUCAUGCAACAACUAGGAUUGCUGCCCACCUGGCAAUUUGGUGACGUUUUUGGAAUGGAUCCUGAACUCCUGAGUUUGGUGCCACGACCCGUUUGCUCGAUCCUUUUACUCUUCCCAGUUACA